CCAUGUGAGAAAUGAUGAACAUAUGAACAUUCUUCAUAAAAAGUGAAGACAUGAGAUCCAACUCUGAACUCACUCUUCAAAG
ensembl:snoRNA